rnacentral:rRNA from 1 species
AUUGAACGCUGGCGGCAUGCCUUACACAUGCAAGUCGAACGGUAACAGGUCUUCGGAUGCUGACGAGUGGCGAACGGGUGAGUAAUACAUCGGAACGUGCCCGAUCGUGGGGGAUAACGGAGCGAAAGCUUUGCUAAUACCGCAUACGAUCUACGGAUGAAAGCAGGGGACCGCAAGGCCUUGCGCGGACGGAGCGGCCGAUGGCAGAUUAGGUAGUUGGUGGGAUAAAAGCUUACCAAGCCGACGAUCUGUAGCUGGUCUGAGAGGACGACCAGCCAGACUGGGACUGAGACACGGCCCAGACUCCUACGGGAGGCAGCAGUGGGGAAUUUUGGACAAUGGGCGAAAGCCUGAUCCAGCAAUGCCGCGUGCAGGAUGAAGGCCUUCGGGUUGUAAACUGCUUUUGUACGGAACGAAAAGCCUCUUUCUAAUAAAGAGAGGUCAUGACGGUACCGUAAGAAUAAGCACCGGCUAACUACGUGCCAGCCGCCGCAGUAAUAC